UUCAAAUACUAUGGAGAAGGAAAUCAAAGAACCAUGGCGGAGCAGCCAUCGACAAUGCCAACAAAGAAAGGAAGUGGAGGAAGGAGGGAGAUCGGUCAAUAUAGUUAUAAACAUAAUCUUUCCAUAUUAUUUCGAAUAAGUUUGUGGGAUCAAUUGGUUAAAGCUUUGUUUAAAACUCUGAUAGGCCAGGGUUCGAUUCUACGUUGUUACAUUUUUCUUUUAAACGAAACUAAAGCAUCAAAAUGACGCUCGAUGCCACCUCCUCAAACACGUGUCAUCUGAGUCAGCUCUUAACUAAUAUUUGUUGAUGUUGACUUUGAAAUUGGCACUAUUUUAUAAAAUUGGCUUACAGAAUUGAAAGCUCUAUCCUGAGGUUUGAUUGUGAGAUAAUUGUAAACGUGCACACAUCUCUAGCUCUUGUAUCAUUGGACGCCUGGAAAUGUUAUUUUGUAGCUAAAGUUGGUGUAGGCUCUUACUGGAAAAUGAGUUAAUGUCAUGCUAAUUAAAGACACUGGUUGUUCAAACAAAUUCAGAAACAAGUACCUUGGGAUAAAUGAUCAGAGUCAAGUGGCCUAAACAGAGUUACCUGAGAACGGAUGCAAGCAAUAUCUGGUUCUUCCGCGGAAAGAACAAUACUCAUUAAUUAAUUAAGAGGAUCUUGACAA